CAGAUGGUUAUCAGGACAUUUUCUGUAUUAACAGCUGCACUGGCAUUUGAGGAAACCACAAGAUAGGACCCAACAUGGAGCAACCUUCUCAUUUGAUGAAAAUGGAGAAUAUAUCACUGGGUUACGGAUCUAUAAAGGUAUCACAGAUGCAGAUGAAAUGAAUAACAACUUCUUUGCUGAGUUUUCACCUUGGGCUCCACCAGAUCAGCAGCUGAACCUCACUUCAUCAUUAAUAAAAUGGAAGACAAAUAACAAUGAAAUUCCAAUAGCUCAAUGCUCAGCCAGUUGUGCCCCUGGACAAAGGAAGGUGCCAAUACCUGGAGCCAAAACCUGCUGUUAUGAUUGUGCCCCUUGUUCCAAUGGAGAGAUCUCCAACACAACUGGUA